GUACUCGCUUCAGCAACACAUAUACUAAAAUGGGAAUGAUACAGAGAACAUGAGCAUGACCCCUGCACAAGGAUGACAUGCAAAUUCAUGAAACAUUCCAUAUUUUU
ensembl:snRNA U6 U6 spliceosomal RNA